GUAUCACUCCAUGUUGNUUUCCACGGGUUAAGCCACUGUGCUGGUACCUGUGGGAGAUCUCCACGUUAACAGAGUAUUUGAUCACGCCGUCUGAGCUGGCCACGUGUCAGAUUUACUGAAGUAAAAACUUUCAACAACGGAUCUCUUGGCUCUCGCAUCGAUGAAGAACGCAGCGAAAUGCGAUAGGUAAUGUGAAUUGCAGAAUUCAGUGAAUCGUCGAAUCUUUGAACGCACAUUGCGCCCUUUGGUAUUCCUUAGGGCAUGCCUGUUCGAGCGUCACUACACACCUUAUCACAACAUUUGUGGUCUUGGCAGGAGUGAAUUGCUAGUCUAUGAAAAUAUUCCAGCUGUCCACCAUGCUGAAAAUUAUGGGAAGGUUACCAGGCGUGAACAACAGACUUUGUAAAGGGUUGCAGGACCUGUAUCAGUCACCAGUCAUGUCUGGUCCUUACCUUAGGGACCCCCAUCCUAGAUGAACUAUGGGUUGACCUCGAAUCAGGUAG
rnacentral:rRNA from 1 species